GGCCCUAUAGAAAACAGAAGGACCUCACGUAUUAAAACCAUCUGAUUACAGAAGAAGAUUUGCAAAGUGCAAGCCCUAAAACAGCAUCUUCUCUUUUGAUCUGUCCCAUCAACAGCAACCCAUCUGUCAGAAACAUUAACAAACCCAUCUAUUUUAGAUUAUGAGUGGUUAGGGGACAGUUUCACACAAACUAACUAAUAAUAAAGGACUGGGAAGUUAUUAAAAAUUAAACUAGGGUGGCAUCUAAUUGGUGUUAUACAUACAGUAUGUAUUCUGAUAAGAUUCAAUGGUAAAGAAGUAUGAAUAAAUCAUGCUAGCCGAAUAUACUAAGUGGCUCAUUAUCUUUGUAAAAGGAACAAGAUAAUUUUGACAGGACUUGGUAGUAUUGUUGACCCAAAGCACAUUUAUUUUCCUUGGAUUGGCCCCAAGGCAAACAGCAGAAGCAAUAGGUUAGGUUAAUACGGUUAUUGCAAAAGCCAAAAUUCAGAGGCAUGCAGAACAGGCCAGAUUGUAUGUACAGGAUAUGAUCAUUUCUAUAAGUUACAGGUAAGGUUCCAUUUGCCAAAAAAGAAAGGUUUUUCUUUAUUGUACCUUUUAAAAUAAACUGUAGUUCAAAACAGAUCAUACAGGUUAUGUCACAUUUACCUGCAAAUUUUUUUUUAAUAAAAAAAUUAUACGACAUGGCUGAUAUUAGCAGAGAUCAAUGCUCAAGGUAUCAGUUGGCUACUACAUGCACACAGCCCUAUAUUUGGAUCCUACUAUUUAUAAUUUAAUUCUGUAAUUAUAAUUCUGUAAUAAUGCUACAUUUUCCCACUGCAAAUGUGAAAAACGUUUUUGAAAGAUGAUAAAAUGUGGGCUUUCUUCAACUAAUCCAAAUUAUUCAUAAUAUUUUUCUGAUUCAUUAAUAGAAUACUAGGUUAUGUUGCACUUAAUAAAUGCUCAGAAACAAAAUUCUUAUUACAAAACUGAAUGUGGCCAUAAAUCCAUUUUUUUAUUAUCUGCCUUAUAUAUGUGCAUUUACACAUAAAGUGUAGUCAAAGAUGACGAAACCAAAACCCUACAGUUAUUUUAAUGGUCCUCCAUCAUAAAGUAUUCAGAUUUAUGUUUGUAUAUUUAUAUUUUAUUCAGCUUAAAAUAAAAAUAUUUUUCUCCAAGAAUAAUACCACAGCAAAAUAAUUCAAGAACUAUUUGGACCCAAUUAUAAAUGACACGAAAUAAAAGGAAACCAUUUGCAAGUGGAAGAGACUUUCAUUAAUAUGAAAAGUAUCGGAAUUGAGGGAUCUGGUGCUGCAUUACACUGCAAAGAGUUUUCUAAGAUUUAGGCAUUAUAUUCUCAGAGAAUGAGUGGAUGCUAUGACAAGAACACUUUGCAAAUACACCCUGGUGUAUUUCUAUGGAUUGCAUUUGACAAUUAUAUUAAAUCUCAAAGUUACCUUAUAAUUUAAUGAACAGAUUCUUCUGAAAAACACAAACACCCUUAAAAUGAUGUAUUUAGUGUUUCCAUUUUACAAAAUACAUGUUUAUGAAACCAUUUUAAUAAAAUAUUUUUGAGAAUCUCAAGAGUUCUUCCUUCCUUCCAAAUCUGAAGGCAUAUUUUUUGGUUUCAUUUUGAAACACUACUGCAAGGUGAUCGCAGCAAGCCAUGUUGACUACCUCACGAAAGGAACUGCUUUUAAAACCAGAAUGUCAUGAAUCUAACCUAAUAAUUCAAAUGCUAUAUAUACA